GCUGCCUACAGGGGUGUCUCCCUCGCCUUCAAAGCAGAGGUGCCCCCGGGCCCAAGCAGGGGUGCUGAGGAUUAUUUCCCCCCCCCCCCAAAGGAGACCCCUCUGGAAAGCGCUUUGCCAGCCUUAGUUCCUUGGGGGAACUGGGUGGGGCAUGUCAGAGGAGGGCCUUCAAGGAGCCCAAGGGCCUGGGUUCGAAUCCCAAUCCGAGGGAGGGGCGGCGUUGGAUUGGCCUCCUAUUUCAGUCCCGCCUUCCGGGCCCAGUGUCAGGAUUAGGGAACAGGGAAUUGUGGGAGCGGCCCGCCUCUUCAGUGGCCAAGUUCCUAAGGAUUGUGCACUCUCUGAGGAAGGAAGAUGCCAAAUGCAAGUCAGCCCCCAUCCGCCCUGCAUCCUACCUGCGUAGUAGAGGCAAGAAAUCCAGAAAGGAUAUAGAGCUGAGCGAUCUGGAAGCCCUGGCUAAGGAGUCUGGGCAGGAACAUGAUGACACAUUGAACAGGCACACCCCAAAGGCAGAAUUCUUACCCACCGAAGAUCGUGCCAUCAGGAACACUUCAAGAAAAGGAAACACCGGAAAAAAAGCCCCAGAAAUGAGCCCAGUGUUGGGGCAAAGCGUUUUCUGGUAAGCAGAAGAGGAAUGCUCUUUGUGGUCAGCCAAAACGAUUGCCAUUAAAUUAUCUAGAAAAAAAGAAAAACAGAAUAAAAUAAAAUUAUCUGGAGAGACUGA